rnacentral:lncRNA from 1 species
UUUCUGCAAUUUAAAAUGCUUUACAUACACACACACACACACACACACACACACACACACACACACACAUUGAAAAAAAAAAGUCCUUUAAUUCUUUAGAGGUAUUUAAGCAGAGGAAAACUGUCAAUUUUGGGAAAUUUUAGUAAAAGACACAAAACAAAAAAAAGAAAUGCGUAGUGGUGAACUAAAGACAAAACAUCAGUAAUGAAAUAUUUUCCCCAUUUGUUAAUGAGGAAUAUGUUUUCAUUAAAAUUCAACAUAGUACGAAUCACUGUUACGCUAUAUCAAAGUAAACACCGAAGGGACAUCUAUAUUCUCAAAGAAGAUUGUCACGUUGUUUCUUUACUAGACAAACUUAUACUUAUGGCAAACAACACAAAAAACUAGACCUUGUUCCAUCGAUUCACUGAAUUACUGGGAGAGAAAUUGAUUGUUGCUUUCCCGAAAUUACCUAGGCUCUUGUAAAACAUGACUUUCCUUUUAAGGAUGUAGGCACUGCUCAAAUUAACAAAAAAAAAAAAAAAAGGCACCAUAAAAAAAUAGUCGUGUAGUAAUGAGCAGUAUGCUUUAUGAGAACCAGGUUAAAAGCUGUUUGUUGAAUAAUGGAGUGGAAUCUGCUGGGGUCAUCAAAUAGACUAAGGACUGGCAUACUAUAUGCCUACUCAUUAUUGUCUAAUUAUAUUCUUUUGACAAGAGGCAGCAUUUACCAGAGCAUUAAUUCCAUCGGAGUUUUGGCUAUCAAGAUGUGUUGAUUUGAAACAUAAUUGAAUGAGACCUGAUUAAGGUCUCACUCUCCUGGCCCCAGUGUUUUUGCAGGUUAGCUAUGUACAUUUAUCAGUCCCAUCGUUUCAUAAGGUUCUUCGCUGUACCAAGUGAUUGGUGAACAACGACGACGACAACAACAACAAAAGCAGCAUACAUUGUAUGGAUUUAUCUCAACGCUAUUGUUUAAUGGCUGUGUUUCAUGUGACCUGUCUGGAAAAUGAGGACUCUGAAUAAAAGCUAUUACUAAUAGCGGUGUUGCCUUCCCUUGAUUCAUUAAUGCAGAACUGAUGCAUUCUACUGCACACCACAAAGAAGACCCCCAAAUAUGGUAUCACAACUGUCUUUGGUAACUAUCUGCUUUGCAAGAAAGUGAGAUCUUAGAAAUUACUUAACAAUAAGUCAAUAGUUUCUAAUAGAAGUGAACACUCAAAUAUAUUGGAUAAAUGAGCAUAGAAACUAUGAUUUAUGAAUUCUUGUACCUUGCAUUAUUUACAUUUGCUGUAAACAAAAGCCUCUCCUACCAUUUCAGCAAUCGUUUGUUGAAUUCAUAUCAUGUCUUUGCCUACCUAUCUAAUGUGCACCCAAAAUAUACUAUGAAUGCAGAGUGCUGCCUGGGUUGCAGUCAGGUGGAAAAAGCAACUGGACAAAUUUUAAUCCACCCAACUUGUCAUAUGAUUAUUCUUGAUUUUCCUUAGUUACCCCAAACAGGCUGCCUUUUUGCUUAGUCACAAUGAAUGACAUGCUUUACAAUUCACACUCACAUAAUGUUUGGCCACACAGGGAGAUUUGUUCUGUUUUUUUUUUUUUUUUCUAUCACAUUAUCAACACUGUGUGCUACAUUAGACUUAUUGCAGAUUGAAUACUUUUACCUGUCCUCACUUUGGUUCAUCUCUAUGUUGGGCUUUUUGUUUCAUUGAAUAUUAACCAGAUUCCAGUAUACAGAAGACUCCUAAGGUACAAAGAGGCACCAAGACAAGCACAUUUUGUUUGUAGAAUCGUUACAGUUUAUACCUUGGCAAUACCUGUGAACGCAGGAAUUGCCCUACUCUUUCAUUAGUCUAUUCUGCUGUCUACUGCUUUACAAAGUAAAGGUAGAUGAAGACGCUGUUAAUUCAGUCAAGUGAAUCAUGUGACCAAGGUCGAGGGAGAAUGGAACCAUUUAGGUGAAGAGCCCUAUCUGGAUAUGACAAAGGUAGGAGGAGAUUAUGAACUCAGCAUAGGAAGACCUUGCUAUAGCUCAAUGAAAUGUUCUGGAAAUGAUACUAUUUUCACAUAGAUAUGACCAAAGAUACAAUUACUAGACAGUUCUUACAAAAAUAUUAAGAAAAAUAAAGUACCCAUGUAUAGUGCCACUGUGGCACAUUGAAGUACAAUACCCAGUGAAUAGGUUAUUUUCAAAUUCUUCAUUACUGUGGGUUCUAUAGCCUAACACAGCACCCAUUAACUUAAAAAUUAUGGUCCUAUUGUUUGUUUAUUUUUGUCUUCUGAACAGGACAUUUCAUUUUGAGAAGAACCAGUUCUUAUUUUAUCUACUUCCUUUCUCACAUAUGCAUUAAGUUGUAUUUGCAUCUAAUGACUUAAUUUUUGUUAUGAUAUAUUUCAAGUUCCUAGCUUUUUAAAGUCUCAUAACUUGCUCGAAUUUUAAAAACAUUUUUAAAAUAAGUUCAAUACAAAUUUUGUACUUUG